rnacentral:rRNA from 1 species
GACGAACGCUGGCGGCGUGCUUAACACAUGCAAGUCGAACGGAAAGGCCCUGCUUUUGUGGGGUGCUCGAGUGGCGAACGGGUGAGUAACACGUGAGUAACCUGCCCUUGACUUUGGGAUAACUUCAGGAAACUGGGGCUAAUACCGGAUAGGAGCUCCUGCUGCAUGGUGGGGGUUGGAAAGUUUCGGCGGUUGGGGAUGGACUCGCGGCUUAUCAGCUUGUUGGUGGGGUAGUGGCUUACCAAGGCUUUGACGGGUAGCCGGCCUGAGAGGGGGACCGGCCACAUUGGGACUGAGAUAGGGCCCAGACUCCUACGGGAGGCAGCAGUGGGGAAGAUUGCACAAUAGGCGGAAGCCUGAUGCAGCAACGCCGCGUGCGGGAUGACGGCCUUCGGGUUGUGAACCGCUUUCGCCUGUGACGAAGCGUGAGUGACGGUAAUGGGUAAAGAAGCACCGGCUAACUACGUG